UAGUUGAGUUGAGUUGAGUUUAACUACUUGAACUAGAUGUAUUUAACCUCCCUGCAUUUGGUUGGGGUAGUAAAAGGGUAUUCAUGUUUUCUUUGCACUUGUAAUUCCUUAUUUUAGUUCAAUUCUACAGGUCAGAGAUCCUGGUUGUAGUGUUAUUGCUAAAUCACAGUAUAGAAUUGGGAUUUUGAAGCUCUGGUCUUUUUUAUGGAUAGAUACCCAUCUCACAUAUUUCUGGCUGUUAUCUAUGAAUGCAUGUGGAAAAAUAGGACUAGUUGUGGUUGGAGAUUUUAUCUGCUCUGUUUUUUUAUUUUUAAUUUUAUUUUAAACCUGAAAGAAAAAGUAAAUUUCUACUUGCGUGUAUUGCAGAAUAGCCUGAGCCUUAUGCAAAACAUGAUGGAAUUUUUGC
rnacentral:misc_RNA from 1 species